GCAUUGUGCAACACAGGGCCUCGUGCAACACGAGGGUGAGACGUAGGGUCUUGUGCAAGGCAGUGGUGCAGUGAUAGGUCUUGUGGAACCUCGUGUCACACAGGGCCUUGUGCAACACGAGGGUUCCACAUGAGGUUGUGCAAUGCUGUGGUGCAACGCUGGGCCUUGUGAAACACGAGGGUUCCACGUGGGGUGUGCAAUGCUGUGGUGAGAAACUGGGCCUUGUGCAACACUACAGUGCCACAUAGGGUCUUGUGCAAGGCAGUGGUGCAAGGCUGGGCCUCGUGCAGCCUCAUUGUGCAACAUGGGGCCUCGUGCAAGAGCACUGUGCAACACACGACCUCGUGCAACACGAGGGUGGGUCCGUGUGCAACGCUGUGGUGCACUGCUGGCUCUUGUGCACCUGUAUGGUGUGACACAAGGCCUCGUGCAACACUCAGGUGCCACAUGGGGUUUUGUGCAUCGCUGUGGUGCAACAGUGGGCUGUGUUCACCUUUAUUGUGCAACACAGGGCCUUGUGCAACAGGUGCCCCCUUGUGCAACAGAGUUGUGCACUACCCCUCGUGCAAGAGCCGGCACUCGUGCACCACCCCUUGUGCAAGAGGAUGACCCCUUGUGUACCACGGUUUGUGCAAGAGGUCUAGUUGUGCACGAGCCCUUGUGCAACAGACUUGCAUGCCGCUCCUUGUGCAAGAGGAGGGCACUUUGGGCACCUCCACUUGUGGAAGAGGCGUCCCCUAGUGCAACGCUCUGAUGCACCACCCCUUGUGCAAGAGAUGUCAGUACGUGCAACACACUUGUGCACCACCCCUUGUGCAAGAGGAGGGCUUUUUUCUGCACCUUCACUUGUGUAAGACUCUCACGCGCAACCCCUUGUGCAAGAAGAGUGCCCUAUGUGCACCCUUUCUUGUGCAAGAGACAGUCUCGUGCAAGGGGAGCUCUCUUUGCACACUACUGCACCAUCCCUCGUGCAAGAGGCGUCCCCUAGUGCAACACCCUUGUGCACCACCCCUUGUGCAAGAGACAGUCUCGUGCAAGGGGAGCUGUCUUUGCACACUACUGCUUGUGCAAGGUGGCCACUCGUGCACCACUCCUUGUGCAAGAAGAGAGCCCUAUGUGCACCCCUUCUUGUGCAAGAGGCCACCUCGUGCAAGGGGAGCUCCCUUUGCACACUACUGCUUGUGCAACGGGGCCAUUCGUGCACCUCCCCUUGUGCAAGAGAUGUCACUACAUGCAACACCCUCGUGCACCACCCCUCGUGCAAGAAGAGAGCCCUAUGUGCACCCUUCUUGUGCAAGAGAUGUCCCCUAGUGCAACACCCUUGUGCACCACCCCUUGUGCAAGAAGAGAGCUGUUUGUGCACCCUUCUUGUGCAAGAGGUUGCCUCGUGCAACGGGAGACCUCCUUGCACACUACUGCUUGUGCAAGGGGACCACUCAUGCACCUCCACUUGUGCAAGAAGAGAGCCGUUUGUGCACCCUUCUUGUGCAAGAGGUUCCCUCGUGCAACGGGAG
rnacentral:lncRNA from 1 species